rnacentral:rRNA from 1 species
CAUACCGAACACGGAAGUUAAGCUCUUCAGCGCCGAUGGUAGUCGGGGGUUUCCCCCUGUGAGAGUAGGACGCCGCCAAGC